CCUCCAGAGUUUGAUUUUUGGCUCAGGAUGAACGCUGGCGGCGUGCGUAAUACAUGCAAGUCGAACGCACAGCGAAAGGUGCUUGCACCUUUCAAGUGAGUGGCGAACGGGUGAGUAACACGUGGACAACCUGCCUCAAGGCUGGGGAUAACAUUUGGAAACAGAUGCUAAUACCGAAUAAAACUCAGUGUCGCAUGACACAAAGUUAAAAGGCGCUUUGGCGUCACCUAGAGAUGGAUCCGCGGUGCAUUAGUUAGUUGGUGGGGUAAAGGCCUACCAAGACAAUGAUGCAUAGCCGAGUUGAGAGACUGAUCGGCCACAUUGGGACUGAGACACGGCCCAAACUCCUACGGGAGGCUGCAGUAGGGAAUCUUCCACAAUGGGCGAAAGCCUGAUGGAGCAACGCCGCGUGUGUGAUGAAGGCUUUCGGGUCGUAAAGCACUGUUGUAUGGGAAGAACAGCUAGAAUAGGGAAUGAUUUUAGUUUGACGGUACCAUACCAGAAAGGGACGGCUAAAUACGUGCCAGCAGCCGCGGUAAUACGUAUGUCCCGAGCGUUAUCCGGAUUUAUUGGGCGUAAAGCGAGCGCAGACGGUUGAUUAAGUCUGAUGUGAAAGCCCGGAGCUCAACUCCGGAAUGGCAUUGGAAACUGGUUAACUUGAGUGCAGUAGAGGUAAGUGGAACUCCAUGUGUAGCGGUGGAAUGCGUAGAUAUAUGGAAGAACACCAGUGGCGAAGGCGGCUUACUGGACUGUAACUGACGUUGAGGCUCGAAAGUGUGGGUAGCAAACAGGAUUAGAUACCCUGGUAGUCCACACCGUAAACGAUGAACACUAGGUGUUAGGAGGUUUCCGCCUCUUAGUGCCGAAGCUAACGCAUUAA
rnacentral:rRNA from 1 species